AUUGAACGCUGGCGGCAUGCUUUACACAUGCAAGUCGAACGGUAACAGGGAGCUUGCUCCGCUGACGAGUGGCGAACGGGUGAGUAAUAUAUCGGAACGUACCCAAGAGUGGGGGAUAACGUAGCGAAAGUUACGCUAAUACCGCAUACGAUCUAUGGAUGAAAGCAGGGGACCGCAAGGCCUUGUGCUCCUGGAGCGGCCGAUAUCUGAUUAGCUAGUUGGUAGGGUAAAGGCCUACCAAGGCAUCGAUCAGUAGCUGGUCUGAGAGGAAGACCACCCACGCUGGGACGGAGACACGGGCCAGACUCCUACGGGAGGCAGCAGGUGGGAAUUUUGGACAAUGGGCGCAAGCCUGAUCCAGCAAGGCCGGGUGAGUGAAGAAGGCCUUCGGGUUGUAAAGCUCUUUUGUCAGGGAAGAAACGGGCGUGGCUAAUAUCCAUGUCUAAUGACGGUACCUGAAGAAUAAGCACCGGCUAACUACGUGCCAGCAGCCGCGGUAACAC
rnacentral:rRNA from 1 species